rnacentral:rRNA from 1 species
AGAGUUUGAUCAUGGCUCAGGAUGAACGCUGGCGGCGUGCUUAACACAUGCAAGUCGAACGGUGAAGCAGGAGCUUGCUCCUGUGGAUCAGUGGCGAACGGGUGAGUAACACGUGAGAAAUGUGCCCUGGACUCUGGGAUAAGCGUUGGAAACGACGUCUAAUACCGGAUACGAGACGUGAAGGCAUCUUCAACGUCUGGAAAGAACUUCGGUCCAGGAUCAUCUCGCGGCCUAUCAGCUAGUUGGUGAGGUAACGGCCCACCAAGGCGACGACGGGUAGCCGGCCUGAGAGGGUGACCGGCCACACUGGGACUGAGACACGGCCCAGACUCCUACGGGAGGCAGCAGUGGGGAAUAUUGCACAAUGGGCGCAAGCCUGAUGCAGCAACGCCGCGUGAGGGACGACGGCCUUCGGGUUGUAAACCUCUUUUAGUAGGGAAGAAGCGAAAGUGACGGUACCUGCAGAAAAAGCACCGGCUAACUACGUGCCAGCAGCCGCGGUAAUACGUAGGGUGCAAGCGUUAUCCGGAAUUAUUGGGCGUAAAGAGCUCGUAGGCGGUUUGUCGCGUCUGCUGUGAAAACCGGAGGCUCAACCUCCGGCCUGCAGUGGGUACGGGCAAACUAGAGUGCGGUAGGGGAGAUUGGAAUUCCUGGUGUAGCGGUGGAAUGCGCAGAUAUCAGGAGGAACACCGAUGGCGAAGGCAGAUCUCUGGGCCGUAACUGACGCUGAGGAGCGAAAGCGUGGGGAGCGAACAGGAUUAGAUACCCUAGUAGUCC